rnacentral:rRNA from 1 species
UACGUAGGUGGCAAGCGUUAUCCGGAAUUAUUGGGCGUAAAGCGCGCGUAGGCGGUUUUUUAAGUCUGAUGUGAAAGCCCACGGCUCAACCGUGGAGGGUCAUUGGAAACUGGAAAACUUGAGUGCAGAAGAGGAAAGUGGAAUUCCAUGUGUAGCGGUGAAAUGCGCAGAGAUAUGGAGGAACACCAGUGGCGAAGGCGACUUUCUGGUCUGUAACUGACGCUGAUGUGCGAAAGCGUGGGGAUCAAACAGGAUUAGAUACCCUGGUAGUCAAGGGCG